rnacentral:rRNA from 1 species
UACAGAGGGUGCGAGCGUUGUUCGGAAUUAUUGGGCGUAAAGGGCGCGUAGGCGGUGCGGUAAGUCACCUGUGAAAUCUCCUGGCUCAACUGGGAGCUUGCAGGCGAAACUGCCGUGCUGGAGUGUGGGAGAGGUGCGUGGAAUUCCUGGUGUAGUGGUGAAAUGCGUAGAGAUCAGGAGGAACACCGGUGGCGAAGGCGGCCCACUGGGCCAGCACUGACGCUGAGGCGCGAAAGCUCGGGGAGCGAACGGG